rnacentral:rRNA from 1 species
AGCAGCCGCGGUAAUUCCAGCUCCAAUAGCGUAUAUUAAAGUUGCUGCAGUUAAAAAGCUCGUAGUUGAAUUUCGGGACUAAUAUGUCGGUCGUGCCUCGGUACGUACUGGCAUUGUUGGUUUCUUCCUUCUGACGAACCAUGAUGUCAUUUAUUUGGUGUCGUGGGAAAUCAGGACUGUUACUUUGAAAAAAUUAGAGUGUUUAAAGCAGGCUCACGCUUGAAUACAUUAGCAUGAAAUAAUGAAAUAGGACGUUUGAUUCUAUUUUGUUGGUUUCUAGGAUCGACGUAAUGAUUAAUAGGGAUAGUUGGGGGCAUUAGUAUUCAAUUGUCAGAGGUGAAAUUCUUGGAUUUAUUGAAGACUAACUACUGCGAAAAGCAUUUGCCAAGGAUGUUUUCAUUAAUCAAGAACGAAAGUUAGGGGAUCGAAGACGAUCAGAUACCGUCGUAGUCUUAACCAUAAACUAUGCCGACUAGGGAUCGGAUGAUGUUAAUUUUUAAUGUACUCAUUCGGCGU